rnacentral:lncRNA from 1 species
GCUUCUCUCUGUCUUUCUGUCUCUGUCUUUCUGUCUCUCUGUCUUCCCAUCUCUGCACCAUUUCUCCUGGCUGUGGGUCAAAGUCAGGUAAAAGGAUUCCAAACCCCUUUUCAACCAGAAGCCUCUGUGUAAAAGUUCUCCAAGUCUUCCCUCCAGAUCUUUAGGUUUAUCAUUGACAUUCAAAUGGAGUACAGUGGAUGACAUUAUACUGAUUGCUUCAAGGCUAAGAGUGCUGCAGAGCCUCCUAAAUGAAGUCCAUCACCAUUCAAAAGUAUUUUGGCCUAACUGUCCACAUGGGAAAAACAAAAUGUAUGAAAAAUACCUAUUUUUCAGACUAUGAUGUUUAGGAGGUUUCAGUUGCUUCAGAGUUAUAGUGCCCUACUCAUGUUGAAGACCUGCCAAGGGGGAAAGAACCUGAGGUUUCUACAGAAUCCAGAUGACUUCCCUUCUGAAAAUAAACUACUAAUUGAUCAAAUUUACAAGCUACUGUUGGAGAAUACCACAAGCUAGAAACUCUAAGACUUGUAAGUAGUUCAAUUUUGGAAUUACUUUAUCCUACUGGC